GAUGAACGCUAGCGGGAGGCUUAACACAUGCAAGUCGAGGGGCAGCAUAGGGUAGCAAUACUCUGAUGGCGACCGGCAAACGGGUGAGUAACGCGUAUGCAACCUACCCUGUACAGGGGGAUAACCCGGAGAAAUUCGGACUAAUAUCCCGUAAUAAUAUCCGGAGGCAUCUUUGGAUAUUUAAAGUUCCGACGGUACGGGAUGGGCAUGCGUAACAUUAACUGGUUGGUAAGGUAACGGCUUACCAAGGCUAUGAUGUUUAGGGGUCCUGAGAGGGUGGUCCCCCACACUGGUACUGAGACACGGACCAGACUCCUACGGGAGGCAGCAGUGAGGAAUAUUGGUCAAUGGGCGCAAGCCUGAACCAGCCAUCCCGCGUGCAGGAAGACGGCCCUAUGGGUUGUAAACUGCUUUUCCAGGGAGAGAAACUUACGCACGUGUUGCGUGACUGACGGUACCCUGGGAAUAAGCAUCGGCUAACUCCGUGCCAGCAGCCGCGGUAAGCACGAGAGUA
rnacentral:rRNA from 1 species